rnacentral:rRNA from 1 species
GCUGGCAGCUAUCUCUCUGCAACUCUUGCAUGGUCGCCCACGGAAGCUAAGCAGGGCUGCGCUGUUCAGUACCUGGAUGGCAGACCACAUGGGAAAGCUAGGUUGCUGCCAGAA